rnacentral:rRNA from 1 species
UACGUAGGGGGCAAGCGUUGUCCGGAUUUAUUGGGCGUAAAGAGCGUGUAGGCGGUCAGGUAGGUCCGUUGUGAAAACUCGAGGCUCAACCUCGAGACGCCGAUGGAAACCAUCUGACUAGAGUCCGGAAGGGGAGAGUGGAAUUCCUGGUGUAGCGGUGAAAUGCGCAGAUAUCAGGAAGAACACCCGUGGCUAAGGCGGCUCUCUAGUACGGUACUGACGCUGAGACGCGAAAGCGUGGGGAGCGAACAGG